GACGAACGCUGGCGGCGUGCCUAAUACAUGCAAGUCGAGCGAAGUUUUUCUGGUGCUUGCACCGGAAAAACUUAGCGGCGAACGGGUGAGUAACACGUAAAGAACCUGCCUUAUAGACUGGGGCAACUAUUGGAAACGAUAGCUAAUACCGGAUAACAGCAUUAACUGCAUGGUUGAUGUUUGAAAGUUGGUUUUGCUAACACUAUGAGAUGGCUUUGCGGUGCAUUAGCUAGUUGGUGGGGUAAAGGCCUACCAAGGCGACGAUGCAUAGCCGACCUGAGAGGGUGAUCGGCCACACUGGGACUGAGACACGGCCCAGACUCCUACGGGAGGCAGCAGUAGGGAAUCUUCCGCAAUGGGCGAAAGCCUGACGGAGCAACGCCGCGUGAGUGAAGAAGGAUUUCGGUUCGUAAAGCUCUGUUGUUAGGGAAGAAUGAUUGUGUAGUAACUAUACACAGUAGAGACGGUACCUAACCAGAAAGCCACGGCUAACUACGUG
rnacentral:rRNA from 1 species